CUUCCUGAAGGAAAAGUCAUUUAAAGGACCAUUACGGAAAUGACAAACUGGGAUCCAGAAACAAACUCGUAAGAGAAACGGGAGAUCAGCAGCUGCGGUGGGGCGGAGGAGGCCAUUUCAUCACAGGGCACUGGUUCAAUGUUAUGCCUUGGCGUGAUUUGAGCUUCUCACAUCUAGGUGAGAGGAAACAUGAGAUUCCUGGACACAUGGCUGGUGCUCCUUUAACUGCUAUCGCCAUUGGAUCAGAGGAAAUAAGGCUGCUGAAAUGACUGAGAAGACUAACUGAAGAGGAAAUCUACUCUGCAUGUGUGUGGCAUCAUCCCAUGGAUUGGAUUCUCAGGCUGAAUACAAAGGAGAAAUUCAGCAGAGUUCUGAUAUUUUCCUUCCUGUGAGUCUUGUUCUAGUGGGAUGUGAAUAAGCAGCCAAACACUCUCAUAGCCUUGAUGUCCCCCGAAACCGUGUUUUCUCCACCAUCAUUGAUAUGGGUCACAGC